rnacentral:piRNA from 1 species
GUAAACGGAACGCUGGCCACUGU